GUUUCCAUAGUGUAGUGGUUAACACUUUCGCCUCCCACAAGAAAGGUCCCCGGUUCGAAACCGGGUGGAAACA